rnacentral:rRNA from 1 species
CAGUCGCCACGGUAAUACGAAGGGCGCAAGCGUUAAUCGGAAUUACUGGGCGUAAAGGGCUCGCAGGCGGUUUCUUAAGUCUGAUGUGAAAGCCCCCGGCUCAACCUUGGAACUGCAUUUUUAACUACCGGACUAGAGUAUGUCAGAGGGAGGUGGAAUUCCACGUGUAGCAGUGAAAUGCGUAGAUAUGUGGAGGAACACCGAUGGCGAAGGCAGCCUCCUGGGAUAAUACUGACGCUCAUGCACGAAAGCGUGGGGAGCAAACAGGAUUAGAUACCCCAGUAGUCCCUGUCUCUUAUAC